UACGUAGGCAGCAAGCGUUGUUCGGAAUUACUGGGCGUAAAGAGUGUGUAGGCGGUUUUCUAAGUUUGGUGUGAAAUCUCCCGGCUUAACUGGGAGGGUGCGCCGAAAACUGGAAGGCUUGAGUGUCGGAGAGGAUAGCGGAAUUCCUGGUGUAGCGGUGAAAUGCGUAGAUAUCAGGAGGAACACCUGCGGUGUAGACGGCUAUCUGGACGGCCACUGACGCUGAGACACGAAAGCGUGGGUAGCAAACAGG
rnacentral:rRNA from 1 species